UGAGAGGUAUGGUGAGCACACUUUGGGAUC
rnacentral:piRNA from 2 species